UUGUAAAUUUGGGAGCUUUCUUUGGUUCAAAAUGAGGAAAGAAAGUGGGUAUACUCGUCUGCUUGUUCAUGGAUACCUCUGGGUUGCGCAGGAUAUAUUAGUUAGGGCUACAGCUUAAGGGUUUGCAUGGCCAAGGAGACGUUGCCUGCCUUCUCCUUUCGUUUCUUGGAUUGAAGGGAGCUCCUACAUGUAUCUCA
rnacentral:pre_miRNA from 13 species